GAAAUGCGAUAAGUAAUGUGAAUUGCAGAAUUCAGUGAAUCAUCGAGUCUUUGAACGCACAUUGCGCCCUUUGGUAUUCCAAAGGGCAUGCCUGUUCGAGCGUCAUUUGUACCCUCAAGCUUUGCUUGGUGUUGGGCGUCUUGUCUCCAGUCCGCUGGAGACUCGCCUUAAAGUCAUUGGCAGCCGGCCUACUGGUUUCGGAGCGCAGCACAAGUCGCACUCCUUUCCAGCCAAGGUCAGCGUCCAACAAGCCUUUUUUCAACUUUUGACCUCGGAUCAGGUAGGGAUACCCGCUGAACUUAA
rnacentral:misc_RNA from 1 species